rnacentral:rRNA from 1 species
GCAGAACGCGAAGAACCUUACCAGGGCUUGAAUGCAUUAUGACAGGGGUGGAGACACCUUUUCCUUCGGGCAUUUUUGCAAGGUGCUGCAUGGUUGUCGUCAGCUCGUGCCGUGAGGUGUCAGGUUAAGUCCUAUAACGAGCGCAACCCCUACCGUUAGUUGCCAGCGGGUCAUGCCGGGACUCUAGCGGGACUGCCGGUGCAAACCGUGAGGAAGGUGGGGAUGACGUCAAAUCAUCACGGCCCUUACGUCCGUGGGCCACACACGUGCUACAAUGGCCGGUACAGAGAGCGGCCACGCCGACAAGGCGGAGCGAAUCUAACGAAACCGGUCACUAGUUCGAGUCGGGUCUGCAACCCGACCCCGUGAAGCUGGAAUCGCUAGUAAUCGGAUA